AUUGAACGCUGGCGGCAGGCCUAACACAUGCAAGUCGAGCGAGCCGCGGAGGGGUGAGUAAUGCCGGGGAAUUGCCCAGUCGAGGGGGAUAACAGUUGGAAACGACUGCUAAUACCGCAUACGAUGGGAUUGCACAGGUGGGUUUAGCUAGUUUGUGAGGUAAGGGCUCACCAAGUCGACGAUCCCUAGCUGGUCUGAGAGGAUGAGCAGCCACACUGGAACUGUGACACGGUCCAGACUCCUACGGGAGGCAGCAGUGGGGAAUAUUGCACAAUGGGCGAAACCCUGAUGCAGCCAUGCCGCGUGUGUGAAGAAGGCCUUCGGGUUGUAAAGCACUUUCAGCGAGGAGGCGUUACUCGCAGAAGAAGCACCGGCUAACUCCGUGCCAGCAGCCGCGGUAAUAC
rnacentral:rRNA from 1 species